rnacentral:rRNA from 1 species
UGAGCAAUCUGCCCUUCUCAUCGGAAUAAGCGUUGGAAACGACGUCUAAUGCCGAAUACGACCUCCUUUCGCAUGAUCGGAGGUGGAAAGCUCCGGCGGAGAAGGAUGAGCUCGCGGCCUAUCAGCUAGUUGGUGUGGUAAUGGCCCACCAAGGCGACGACGGGUAGCCGGCCUGAGAGGGUGACCGGCCACACGUGGGACUGAGACACGGCCCAGACCUCCGUACGGGAGC